CACUGUAGAUGUGUCCAUUUGUUUACUGAUCUCAGUCUGAUUUCACAUGAACAGUUGAUUGAGCAGGAUCAGCUCUUGCCAUCUGUAAGAUAGUUCUACUGGUAAACUUGGCCCUGCACCGCCUCUGUCCGUGUACUGUUUCUUCUUUCUUUGCUGUGUGUUUAGACUUUAGAUGGUUGAUAGUUGUCUCUCCAGUUCCUCAGCUGGCAUCUGAAUGGGCACCUGGUAUUGUUUCUUUAUGCAAAUACUCCCAGUGCAACACACACCACGAUGUGAAUGUUUUAGAGUUAAAAUAUGCAGAAUUGUUAUGUUCAUUGAAAAUGAACCCAUGUGUCCAUGUUUCUGACAGUGGGGUUGGCACAAGAGCUAGUUUGAUUGGUUUGUCUAAAUAGAAGAAUGUCAGACAAUGUGCGCAUUUGUGACUUUAUUUUGCCUGUCUUUUACGAGUUCCCCGGAGAAUUAAGGGUGUGACCAGGUGAGAGAGAUGGUAUGUGUGUGACGGAGAGAGUUUUACUUUAUGAUUGAGAGAGAGAGAGCUGUGACCUACUGUGAACAGCAGCACGUACACCUGGAUGUGCAGAAAGACAGAGUGUAAUGAGGUAAGGCCAAACACCCCCAUCUCAGCUUGAAACAGGAAUGUAAACUUUUCAUCUGGGGGUGAGGGUAGUGGGGAAGCUGUCUGUCUUCUGGCUGCACCCCAUAGUCCUUUCUUUGAUCUUCUCUUUUCUUCUCUCAGUCCUAAAUUCUAAUUUGAUGCACAGAUGUUAUUUUAUGUUCCUGUCUGAUCCAUUUAUUUCCCAUUCAUAAAUCAAUGAGUAGAUAUUGGAGUAGACAACCAUUAUAUGUCAAAGGCAAGGCCUGGUAAUAACUUUUCAAAGGUAACCAUGUGUCUCUUUCUCCCUGUGAUUAAUAUGUCACAGAGCAGUGAGCACCUUAGCACGGAAGGACAUUUUGAUCUUAUUCUACACUUGACAAAAUGAAAAUAAAAUAUUUUGUUUCUUUCAAUUAAAUCAACAGACUAACUUCAAAAUCAUUCAAUGCGCUAAUAAAAAAUGCUCUUAUCACAAUUGAACAUUGUUUGUAACAAGGUAUAUAGCUAACGUUGCAUGACUUUGUUACAAAGGUAACAAUAUGGGCUUUAUACCAUGGUUUAUGGCGCGACUACGUGGAGACAGUUGGUACUUCCGUAAUUUUGGUUUGGCACUUUCACCAAAACCCAGCCUUAAUCCCAACAUUGAUGAUUGGUUACUAAUCACGAAAGUCCCCCUCCGUCAACAUGAUUGGCAUCCCAAAGCCUUUCUUUCUGUUACGACGUCUUAGAAAUGUGCUACCCAAUUGGUCAACCUAAAUAUCCACCCGACAUUUUAACGACAUGACUAGGUUCACUGUGUUUGUGGGCGGGUAUAAACUGCCAGAACUGGGCGUAGCAGGAGCUGUGACAUCGUUCACUGAGAUUAUACAGCACAUGGUACCUGCAUUGAUUUAGUCUAAAAACACCCAGUGAACUGAUAGUAGAAACUUGUUUACAGAGAAAAGCGCAAAAGAACAUGUAAAUAUUUGUGAGGGAACAAGCUGGAACUGGAAGGACUCACGUUAGCUUAGUGUGUAUAACUUGCUGAGUGCGUGCUACUAACGUUGCUAUUUCAAAACUUUAACUAGUUGUGUACUAUUUAAUCGGGUAACAAUGCUAGCUAGCUGGCUAACUGUUGUGUUUUAUGAAGUGGUCAAUGUUGCCUGAGCAAAUUAAACACCGGCGAAACGAAAACUUGAAAAUGGACAAUGGCGUGACUGAUCACCAAUCACACGGUGUCGGUGCGUUUGACCAGUACCAUCAGUUCGUUCGAGGAGAAUAAACGAUGCAACAAGGGAAUCACCAUCGCCAAAUCCAAGGGUAAAUUAGAGAUGGUUGUGGGUACCCCGGCCUCCAGUAUGGAACUGCAGCUUUUCAGCACCACCGACAAGUUCAUGCAGAAACUGGACGACAACGAGGCCCUGCUAGGUUCCUACCCUGUGCAUGAUGACUGCAAAAUUAAUGUAUAGUAGAUUUCAAGCCAGGUCAUUGGGUGGGAGUGAAGUGUAACGAGCCUCUUGGGAAACAUGACGGCAGUGUGAAGGAGAAGUGAUACUUUGAUUGUGAGAACAAGUACGGUGUGUUUGUCAGGCCCCUCACAAUGACCGUGGGGCACUUCCCAGAGGAAGACUUUCAUCUGGAUGAGAUGUAGGACUGUGAUGCUGUCACCCUGUCAAAGGGCGUGGGCAGAUGGCUUCAACAUUGACCUCCAGUCUGAUUACGAACCCAGGGUGAGGGACAGUGUCAUUGUGAUUAAUAACUUUAUUUUGUUUUGUGCUGGUCAGGGAGGUAUGGGUUGGACUAUAGAGAGCUGCAACUGGGGAAGGAGGCAGUAUCACCUAGGACCGACUCUAGCGUAUGACAUCUCUUGUGGCGCAGCGGUCUAAGGCACUGCAUCUCCGUGCUAGAGGCGACAGACGCCUCUAGCAAAAAAAAAUAUAAUUGGAAUUUACUGUAUAUUGAAUGAGGAGAGAUGAGAAAAGCACAACGUUUUUGCCUUGUUACAAAUACAUUGUCAAUGUAUUUAAUUUAAAUGAUAACCAUGUGGUCCAACUAUUUCCUUUGAUCCAGUGGAUGUAGAAAGCAAGCGUUCCAAAAUUGAUGUACUCAGAAUUGAGUUGAACCUGAAUUGCCCAUCACAUCCUAGAUUCUAUAUGACUAAUAGGCAGUCAUAAAAAUCACAACAAUGUUCAUCAAAUGUCAAUUAUCAUCCCAAGCCAGGGUUCUAUCAAACUUUUUUAAAUAAAUCCCAUGCUUUGGAAUGCAAGAAUUCAAGCAACAACAAAAUAUCUAUUAGUACUACUGACUAGUGGCAAAAUAUACAGUUUAUUUGAAUAUCUGUUAGUUCAUUGGUUAUUGUACCAUAGAAGCCAUUUGUUUUUGUGUCGUGUGCCUGUUCUAGAUUCUGGAAACUUACAUUGUUUCUAACACUCCAACAUAACCGCAAGGCUCUCCAGAGGGUGGUGCGGUCUGUACAACGCAUCACUGGGGGCAAACUACCUGUCCUCCAGGACACCUACAGCACCCAAUGUCACAGGAAGGCCAAAACGAUCAUCAAGGACAACAACCACCCGAGCCACUGCC